rnacentral:rRNA from 1 species
GCAUAUCAAUAAGCGGAGGAAAAGAAACCAACAGGGAUUGCCUCAGUAACGGCGAGUGAAGCGGCAACAGCUCAAAUUUGAAAUCUGGCUCUUUCAGAGUCCGAGUUGUAAUUUGUAGAAGAUGCUUCGGGUGCGGCCCCAGUCUAAGUUCCUUGGAAGAGGACGUCAUAGAGGGUGAGAAUCCCGUAUGUGACCAGGUGCCCGCGCCCAUGUGAAGCUCUUUCGACGAGUCGAGUUGUUUGGGAAUGCAGCUCUAAAUGGGUGGUAUAUUUCAUCUAAAGCUAAAUAUUGGCCAGAGACCGAUAGCGCACAAGUAGAGUGAUCGAAAGAUGAAAAGCACUUUGGAAAGAGAGUUAAACAGUACGUGAAAUUGUUGAAAGGGAAGCGCUUGCAAUCAGACUUGCGUGCCGUCGAUCAUCCCAGGUUCUCCUAGGUGCACUCGGCGGCGCUCAGGCCAGCAUCGGUUCUGGUGGUGGGAUAAAGGCCUUGGGAAUGUAGCUCCUUUCGGGGAGUGUUAUAGCCCUCGGUGCAAUGCCGCCUACCGGGACCGAGGACCGCGCUUCGGCUAGGAUGCUGGCGUAAUGGUUGUAAGCGACCCGUCUUGAAACACGGACCAAGGAGUCUAACAUCUAUGCGAGUGUUUGGGUGUCAAACCCAUACGCGUAAUGAAAGUGAACGGAGCUAAGAACCCUUUAGGGUGCAUUAGCGACCGAUCCUGAUGUCUUCGGACGGAUUUGAGUACGAGCAUAGCUGUUGGGACCCGAAAGAUGGUGAACUAUGCCUGAAUAGGGUGAAGCCAGAGGAAACUCUGGUGGAGGCUCGCAGCGGUUCUGACGUGCAAAUCGAUCGUCAAAUUUGGGCAUAGGGGCGAAAGACUAAUCGAACCAUCUAGUAGCUGGUUCCUGCGA